rnacentral:rRNA from 1 species
GGGUCAGUAGGUUGGUCGUGCCACCGGUACGUACUGGUCUCACUGAGUCCUCCUUCCUGAAGAACCGUAAUGCCAUUAAUUCGGUGUUGCGGGGAAACAGGACUGUUACUUUGAAAAAUUAGAGUGUUUAAAGCAAGCUAACGCUUGAAUACAUUAGCAUGGAAUAAUGAAAUAGGACGAUCGAUCCUAUUUUGUUGGUUUCUAGGAUUGACGUA